ACGGCGAGUGAAGCGGCAACAGCUCAAAUUUGAAAUCUGGCCUCACGGUCCGAGUUGUAAUUUGUAGAGGAUGUUUUGGGCACCGCGCCGGUGUAAAUUUCUUGGAACAGAAUGUCAAAGAGGGUGAGAAUCCCGUCUUGGAUCGGCGUAGGGCCCGUGUAAAACUCCUUCGACGAGUCGACUUGUUUGGGAAUGCAGGUCAAAAUGGGAGGUAAAUUUCUUCUAAAGCUAAAUAUUGGCCAGAGACCGAUAGCGCACAAGUAGAGUGAUCGAAAGAUGAAAAGCACUUUGAAAAGAGAGUUAAACAGUAUGUGAAAUUGUUGAAAGGGAAGCGCUGGCAACCAGACUCGAGCGCGGGGUUCCCCCUGGCUUCUGCCAGGGUCACUUCCCCGUGUCCGGGCCAUCAUCAGUUUCGGGGGCCGGUCAAAGGCGAUGGGAAUGUAUGCACUCCUCCGGGGGUGCACUUAUAGCCCAACGUGUCAUGCGGCCUCCCGGGACUGAGGAACGCGCUUCGGCGAGGAUGAUGGCGUAAUGGUUGUCAGCGACCCGUCUUGAAACACGGACCAAGGAGUCUAACAUCUAUGCGAGUGUUCGGGUGUCAAACCCCUGCGCGGAAUGAAAGUGAACGGAGGUCGGAAGGCUUAUGCCUGCACGAUCGACCGAUCCUGAUGUCUUCGGAUGGAUUUGAGUAAGAGCAUAGCUGUUGGGACCCGAAAGAUGGUGAACUAUGCGUGAAUAGGGUGAAGCCAGAGGAAACUCUGGUGGAGGCUCGCAGCGGUUCUGACGUGCAAAUCGAUCGUCAAAUUUGCGUAUAGGGGCGAAAGAC
rnacentral:rRNA from 1 species